ensembl:misc_RNA 7SK 7SK RNA
AAAUGUGAGGGGGAAUCUGGCUGUAACAUGUCACCUACUGAUCACCAAGUUGAUUCGGCUGAGCUGGCUGGCAAGGAGGAGUCUCCUUCCUCCCUCGCUGGUCCAUGUGCACCACCCCAGCUGUGCACUUGAUCAAAGAGAAGAUCUUCCGGAAUAGAAGAGGACCUGUCUUUGGUCAAAGUUAUAUGAGGAGCUGUGCUACCCUGCUAGAACCUCUGAACUAGAAACUUUAAGAUCUCAAUUAAUAAAAAUGGAAAAAGAACUAACUUACACAAAUUUCAUACUAAAUGGCUGCCAAUACAAAUUU